ensembl:ncRNA lncRNA:CR45513 long non-coding RNA:CR45513
AGUAAUGAAUAAUUCGAAAUCAGUUUUCGAAUGCCAAUCCCACACCCACAUCUCACUUUGUCCCAUUCCCAAGAAGAGCUCUCGUUCGCUAAUGCGAUUAGUUUGAGUGCUGUCAGUGGGAUUUUUAAACCGUUUAACAGCCAGCACAUCUGGAGCAGCACAUACUCGACAGCCACACACUCCCCACACCCCACACAACACCAAACCCAUCCUUCCAAUCAGCAUCCUCGUGGCGCCUUCAGAGUGCAUUUCAAUUUCCGUCUGUCCUGGCACGGUGGUGUCGUAUGGCACAAACACACAAAGCAUUCGUGAGAGCCCGCUGCAUCAUUUCCAAGUCUCUUCCGGCCUUUGCUUGAGAUUCGAUUCAUAACUUUUUCAUCUUGGCUAGAAAUAAAGCAAAGGAGCUCACAAUCGAGGCCGGCGAGUACGCAGAGCUCAGCUGGAAUAAACAAGGAGCAGUCGCCAGUUCACCACCCCGCCAUCGUUAUCUCUGCCAUCCGUAUCAUUAUCCUGCAUACAUACUCCUUCAAAGUUCAGCGAAACAAGGCGAUUCGAGGCUCUCCUGCUCUCGUUGCGCAAACAAUGGGGGAACGACUCGAAACACUCAAGUGCAAUAUUUGGCAACAUUAAUUUAAUGUCUGUACAUAAGGAGCGCAAUAAAACUUUGACCAAGUGCCACCUUUUCCGGCUUUUCCGGCCGAGGCUGCAACUUCAACGGAGCGGCCUUAUCAAUGUUUAAACAGAGCUGCACAACACACCAUCCUCCUGGCCCAGCUAAAAACAAAAGCAUAACCAAAAACAAAAACAUGGGCUGUAAAAACCGGAAGAGACCACCGAAAGGACUUGAAUCAUUUUAAGACC